ACGGAAGGCAGCAGUGGGGAAUAUUGCACAAUGGGCGCAAGCCUGAUGCAGCGAUGCCGCGUGAGGGAAGAAGUUUUUCGGAUUGUAAACCUCUGUCAUCGGGGACGAUAAUGACUGUACCCGAGUAGGAAGCCCCGGCUAACUACGUGCCAGCAGCCGCGGUAAUACGUAGGGAGCGAGCGUUAUCCGGAAUUACUGGGUGUAAAGGGAGUGUAGGCGGGACUGUAAGUCAGAUGUGAAAUAUGCCGGCUCAACUGGCAGACUGCAUUUGACACUGAGGAUCUUGAGUGAAGUAGAGGUAAGCGGAAUUCCUAGUGUAGCGGUGAAAUGCGUAGAUAUUAGGAGGAACAUCAGUGGCGAAGGCGGCUUACUGGGCUUUAACUGACGCUGAGGCUCGAAAGCGUGGGGAGCAAACAGGAUUAGAUACCCUGGUA
rnacentral:rRNA from 1 species